UACGUAGGGUGCAAGCGUUAAUCGGAAUUACUGGGCGUAAAGCGUGCGCAGGCGGUUUUGUAAGUCAGAUGUGAAAUCCCCGGGCUUAACCUGGGAACUGCGUGUGAUACUGGAUGGCUUGAAUCCGGGAGAGGGAUGCAGAAUUCCCAGGUGUAGCGGUGAAAUGCGUAGAUAUCUGGAGGAAUACCGGUGGCGAAGGCGGCAUCCUGGACCGGCAUUGACGCUGAUGAGCGAAAGCUAGGGGAGCAAACGGG
rnacentral:rRNA from 1 species